UACGAAGGGGGCAAGCGUUGUUCGGAAUUAUUGGGCGUAAAGGGAGCGUAGGCGGUUCGGCAAGUCUUUAGUGAAAUCGUCUGGGCUCAACUCAGAGUCUGCUGGAGCAAACUGCCGGGCUGGAGUAUGGGAGGAGGUGAGUGGAAUUCCCGGUGUAGCGGUAGAAAUGCGUAGAUAGUCGGGAGGAACACCUGUGGCGAAAGCGGCUCACUGGACCAUUACUGACGCUGAUGCUCGAAAGCUAGGGGAGCAAACAGGG
rnacentral:rRNA from 1 species